rnacentral:rRNA from 1 species
UACGUAGGGUGCGAGCGUUAAUCGGAAUUACUGGGCGUAAAGCGUGCGUAGGCGGCCUUAUAAGUCAGUGCUGAAAUAUCCCGGCUUAACCGGGAGGGUGGCAUUGAUACUGUAGGGCUUGAGUGUAGUCGAGGUAGGCGGAAUUGACGGUGUAGCGGUGAAAUGCUUAGAUAUCGUCAAGAACACCGAUAGUGUAGACAGCUUACUAGGCUACAACUGACGCUGAGGCACGAAAGUGUGGGGAUCAAACAGG